rnacentral:rRNA from 1 species
GACUCACAGCUAAGGUUCCUAAAUUGUAGCUUAGUUGAAAAGGCCGUUCAGUUUCCAACACAGCAGGAAGGUUGGCUCAGAAGCAGCCAUCCUUUAAAGAGUGCGUAACAGCUCACCUGAAUAUUCCAGAUUUAUCUGGAUGGAAACUAUGCGCCGAAAAUGAACGGAGAUAAGCAUCGUACCGAAGACUGAGAUUAUUUAAAUCUUUGCGAUUUAUAUAGUGGUAGGGGAGCGUUCUAGUUGCUGUGAAGCCUCAUCGUAAGGUGGAGUGGAGCGGCUAGAAGUGAGAAUGCUGACGCAAGUAGUGAUUCUUCUGGUGAAAACCCAGAAUGCCGAAUGUUCAAGGUUUCCUCAGCAACGUCAAUCGACUGAGGGUUAGUCGGAUCUAACUGGCGCAUCGAUUGGUGCGUCGGGAUGUACAAACGGUCAAUAUUCCGUUACAAGGUAAUACGCGUUAUUACUGUAUUGAUGACGAAGUUCGUUCUUUUGAGCCUUCUAUAUGUGGGUCUAAAUGACAAAUCUUUUCGUAAGUUAAGGUGAGUUAUGAAUGCAAUCGGUCGUAAGACUGAAAGUCAAAAAGAAUGCGUUUCCGGGAAAAGUCAAUGCAGGAGUUUAUUAUUUUUCCGUACCGUAAACCGACACAGGUGAACUGGUAGAGAAUACCAAGGCAGACGAGUAAGGUUAGUUCAAGGAACUAGGCAAAAAAGCGAGCGUAAGGUUUCCGAUAUGCUCUGCCGUCUUCGGACGGCUGCAACCAACGUUUAUCAACCGACUGUUUAUCAAAAACACAGGCUUCUGCAAACCAGAAAAUGGGACGUAUAGAAGCUGAGACCUGUCCGGUGCUGGUAAGUUAAUCAUUGGGAUUGACUGCUUCAAUUUAUUGUUGCAGAAGGUUCUGGUGCAAGCUCCAGUGAACGACAGCUCUAACCCUGAGAGUUCUAAGGUAGCGUAGCCCCUUGCCGGGUAAGUUCCGGCCCGCAUGAAAGGUAUAACGAGUUGAUAACUGUCUUGAACUAAUGCUCGACGAACAUGAAUUGGCUGUGAAGAUGCGGCCUACCUGCACAUGGACAAAAAGACCCCAGAAGCUUUACUGAAGCUUGUCAUUGGUCGGAAGAAAGAGACUGUCGAGCGUAGGAGGGAGACCUCGGUCGCCAAUGGAACACCUCUCUUCUCUUUUUUCUUACCUCAUCAACCAAUUGUUGAAACAGUGAUAGGUGGUCAGUUUAACUGGGGCGGUUUCCUCCAAAAAAGUAACGGAGGAGCGCAAAGGUCAGCUUAUUCCGGAUGGAAAUCGGAAUGAAAGUGCAAUUGCAAAAGCUGGCUUAACUGUGAGAAUGACUAUUCGAACAGAUACGAAAGUAGGCAAUAGUGAUCCCCCGCACGACUGUGAUUGUCGUCGGGGCUUAACGGAUAAAAGCUACUCUGGGGAUAACAGGCUAGUCACGCCCGAGCGUCCAUAGCGACGGCGUGGUUCGGCACCUCGAUGUCGGCUCAUCACAUCCUGGGGCUGUAGUAGGUCCCAAGGGUUGGGCUGUUCGCCCAUUAAAGUGGUACGCGAGCUGGGUUCAGAACGUCGUGAGACAGUUCGGUCCCUAUCUGCCAUGGGCGUUGGAGAUUUGAGAGGGGCUGCUCCUAGUACGAGAGGACCGGAGUGGACGAACCUCUGGUGUUCCGGUUGUCACGCCAGUGGCAUUGCCGGGUAGCUAUGUUCGGAAGCGAUAACCGCUGAAAGCAUCUAAGCGGGAAGCGCGCCUCAAGAUGAGACCUCCCGGGCCACAAGGCCCCUGAAGGAACCAUGAAGACUACGUGGUUGAUAGGGUGGGUGUGUAUCGCAGCAAUGCCGAGCUAACCACUACUAAUGAUCCGUGCGGCUUGACCAU